rnacentral:lncRNA from 1 species
GUCCGGACGGAGACGAGCAUUGCGGCCGGGGCGGUGUCGGUGAGCUCCGCGGCGGUGGAGCUAGCAGCGAUGAAAGUUGCGAGCUAUGGAGGGCUCUCCGCGGCUCAAGUCGUGAUCGUCGGUGCCGGGAAGAUGUCCAAGCUGCUCGUCAAGCACCUCAUCUCCAAAGGCUGCACCAAGAUGGUGGUCGUCAACAGGACGCAGCAGCGCGUGAGCGAGCUCCAGGCCGAGUUUCCAGACUCCACGCUCGAGUACCAGCCUCUGGACGAGAUGAUGAGAUGUGCCGGGGAGGCCGACGUUGUCUUCACGAGCACAGCGUCAGACCAGCCACUCUUCUACAAAGAUGACGCUGAGAAGAUCCCGGCUGCUCCUUUGGGAACCAGGUUCUUCAUCGAUAUCUCGGUCCCUCGAAACGUUGCGGCCUGUGUUGCCGAGGUCCCCUCCGUCAGGCUCUACAAUGUGGACGACUUGAAAGAGGUGGUGGCCGCCAACCAGGAAGAGAGGAGGAGGAAGGCCAUGGAGGCCCAGACCAUCAUCGAGGAGGAGCUGCGGAGCUUCGAGGCGUGGAGGGACUCGCUGGAGACGGUGCCGACGAUAAAGAAGCUGCGAGCUUACGCGGAGAGGAUCCGGACGAGCGAGCUGGAGAAGUGCCUGGCGAAGAUGGGAGGCGACGAGUUGUCCAAGAAGAACAGGAAGCUCAUCGAGGACCUCAGCCGGGGAAUCGUCAACAAGCUGCUCCACGGGCCCAUGCAAAACUUGAGAAGCGAUGGCAGUGACGCCAGGACGGUGAACGAGACGCUGGAAAACAUGCACGCUCUAGAGAGGAUGUUUGAUCUCAAAGCCGAGCUUGGUGGUCCCCUGGAGCUCAGAUCCGCCAAGCAGCCCCCACCAGCAGCACCACCUUCCAGCUGACCACCACAGAAAAUCCGCUCGCUACGGACGAUCGAACGAUCUCGGAAAGGUUUGUCUCUUCUUCUUUAUGUUUUUGAGAGCUGAGCUGACGGAAUAACACGGCACUGAUACCAGUGCCUUGGAUUACUCCUGGAAAUUGUAAGAAAACAUUCAUAUGAAAUCAAACGCGGCACAUUGUCGGUGUCCAAAUCCAAUCAUACAUACUUCUCACGUUCUGGGAGACGGCCAACGCCUACUUGUUCCCAGCUCCAGAAGUUGUGAAUAGGCUCUGAAGUCCACCUGGAAGUUGACCGUGCUCGUUGGCUCCAGAGUGUGGGUUUUUCGUCACCGAUUAUAUUAUAAGCUGUAUUUUUAUCUUUAUUAUUGGAUACAUAAUGUGUAAUUAAAGUCUGUCAAAAUAGUAUACGUUUAAUUGAUAUUUAUGAUAUAUUUUAUAGAUCUUAUUUUUCUCUGACACAUCGAUAUACAAACUCAAAAAGAGGGGAAGUGAGCAUAGCUUUUAAAACUUCUUUGAUCAAUUUCUGGAUUCUUAGUAUCAAGAAAUUUACAGAAACCUAUAAAUACCACAAAAGUUCUUCAUGUGUCUACUGCAAAAAUAUUGUUGCCAGACACACUUGACUGAUAAAUUGUUUUAUAUGGAGACUUUGAGAAAUACAAUUAACCAUCAUAUUAAUAAAUGUCAAAGGGUAUGGCUCAUUGUGCAUUUGUCAAGUGAUUGUAGUAUUUAUGCAAUUAAUAAUAAAAAAUUUUGAGGGUCAUGCAGUGCCUAAUUGGAAAUAUGAGACCACAAUGCAAUUGAUGCAAAUGAAUUGCCAAUCCUUCAACUUUUAAAGCAUGAAAAUAUUAUAUUAGUUAAAAGUAUCAUGAGAUGCAAAUGAAUUGUCAGUCCUUCAACUUUUAAAGCAUGAAAAUAUCAUAUUAAUUAAAAGUAUCAUGAGAAUCAAACAGAAUAAUAAUUUGCUAUGUGUUGCAUAUUCAAUUGAUCAAUUAGAAUCAUGUUUAUAAUUUAUAAGUAAAAAAUUAAUUUUAUUAUAAGUAUUUAGGACAGUUUAUAAAAUAUAAAUACAAAAUUAAUUUAACUGUUUGAUGGUGGUAGAAUAUCCUAAAAUAUUCAAAUAUAUUCUAAGUAUGUCCACUCCCACCCCUUAGGCAAAAAUAUAUGAUUGACAAAUGAAGGGAUGCAUUUACUAUUUGAAGCAAUUAACAUAUUAUUGCAUUAGCAGCAAGCCAGGGUUGCUGCUUUCGCUCCACAAUGUCCGACUGAUGCUUGGAGCCACACCGUAAACGAAGACUUAGGAUGGUCUUAUGCCCUCAUGGUAAAAGAAAAAUGUUUAUAUUAUCGGCUGAGAUGCAAUACGGCAUUUGUUUAAGGCUCUAGCAAGAGUCCAAGGUCCGCCCACAGUGGAACUUGAAUGGCCUCUUGGUUAGCUCCAUCACUCCAAUCUCCAUCAGAUUCUCUUGGGCGAGAUCUUGAUUGUUGGCGCCAGAAAAAUGUCCAAGCUGCUCGUAAAGACAAAGAUCGUGGUCAUCACACGCUGGACGCCCCCAGCCUGCCAGAUAUUUCAAUCCCUGCGACCUAAGCUUGUGAGUACUUAAACAAGGACCCAGUUGAUGCAAUUGAUUCUAGGGAGCAAAGAACAAACGAGAAAGUCCAAGCUCUUCGCAUUGUUUGUCUCAUCUCAUCACUUCCACCUAGCUCCAGCUUCGACCACCCGUCCAAUCCAAACACGUACCUCUUAUACAUUUGCUCUCAAUUGCUGUAGUAGCUAUAGUCUUUAAGAUCGGGCUGGAACCUUCGAAAGAGCUCGUUUCGGAACAAGUUCUUCAUCGCAAGUCUCUUCAUGUAGAUGGGAACGAGUCGGUUUCGUCCACCUUCUGGAGCUGGGAACAAGUACGCGUGGCCGUCUCCCAAGAGUGGUUGGAACGUGAAGGAGUUGUGAAUAAGCGUUCCCCAUCCGAAGUUCACCUCGAAGAUCGGGAAGUUGACCAUACUCGUGCUCUGCACGUCGCCUCCAGAGUAGAAGUCGCAGGCAAAACCGAUGUCUCUGUCGUUCUUCUGAAGCUCAAUCUCCAUCCAGUCUAUCACCGACUUGAGGUACUCCGUCGUUGUGGCUGAGAGGUCGUCGUAGAUGAGCUUUGCAGCGUAGGAGACGUGCUUGUUCUUGAUGUCCCCGGCUUUCGCUGCUAAUGACGAAAUAUGAGCCGUGUUUCCAAAGAAGCCGCGAGGAAGAGGUGGCUGCCAGCGCUGUCUGCAGCUUAUCGGGUAGACAUAUCGAGUUGUGGUGUCGUCCGGGAGCUCUCUGGCUUCGGUCAUCACCUUCCAGGUGAAUGCCGCCAUUGCAACGAAGCUGGAGGCUUCGACCUUCCAAGGACCGUUUCUGACCUCCUGGAUGAUUGCGUCCACCUGUUGAGCUGUGAACCUGAAGGUGAUAGCUUGGUAUGGCGAUGGAGCUCCUUCCUCAAAGAUCUGAUAGUUGCUGCUGAGAGAGCCUUCAACCUUGGGAACUGAAAUGUAGUCCUUAAUGGGAAUACUCACCACUGGUGGAUCUCUGGCUUUCAUCAGGUGAUUUGCAAACACUGGCGGAGUUGACACUGGAAGAUGCGUAUGAAGUUCCGACCAUGAUUUUACAAACUCCAUCGCAGCCCAGCCAUCGUGAAUUGCAUGGGCCAUACUAAAUCCCAGAGCGAUCCCUCCACACUUGAAGAGGGUAGCCUGGAAAUAAAAUCAGCGAAGUUUCGAGUCUAUUAAUUUUACCUGAGUUCGUAUGAGUGGAGCGGUGUUGUAGUCCGCUAUGAUUGUAUCUUCAAAUGUCAGCUUGGCUUCUAUGGUGCAAUCCUUGAUGUCUUCCCAGUCAUCGAAUCUUGCCUCGGUAACUGCCUCGCGAAAAAUAACUCCCUUGUCAUUCAGCUCGACUUCGAAUCUGUUAUUCUCGUUCUUCACCAGCCUCCCCGCGAGAGCUGGAUAGUAAAUCAAUAACCUCGACAAUGAGUCCUUCAAUCCUUUGAAAAAAGCAUCCUGGUCUUGAAUCAAAUGAUCCGAAGCUGGCUUGAAGUACCACACGGUGUUCAUGUACCACUGGCCUGUAAACACCUGAUCUAAAUUCGAAAGGAAACGUCGUUCCUGAAUUGGUGUUGGAGAUGCCGGGACGAUAACAGAGGUGGACUUCAGAUCGACUCCCCAUAGAGCUCCCAUUCUCUCUUGAAUUCGCGAAAGGGUUGAACCACGCUUUAUCGAAGGCUAUAUGAUGGCUGUUGCAAGUUUAAUUUUUUUUGGAGCAUCGUUUUCCAGUCACAUAGGUCAAAGGAUCUUCGCUUGAAGAGUGGGUGUUGUCGCUUCUAGCAUGCAAAUUAAGAUUCGCAGCCAUGACAAAUCAAGCUCAUCUAUCUUGAUCAGGACAACUCUACCAUGCUAAUUUAACGCGUUCUCCGUUUAUCGGCACUCGCUCUUGGCCCCUUUGACCAACUGCGUCCACUAAGGAGAUCAAGGCGCUUUUCCUUCCUAGCAGGCUUUCAAAAAUUUGCUUAUGCUAUGUUUCUUAAGAUUAAGCUUUAUGCCUUAUCUUUUUUCCAUUAACUGUUUUGCCUAUAUGUACAAUAUAACAGUGCAAAUAGUUGUCAACCAUAGAUACAAGUGACCUGCUCAAAAUUCAUAUUAUUUAAUGCAUUAUUGAUUUGAACAAGUUUAAGCACACGUAAGUGACGAGAAGUGCCUGUCACUUUUUACUUCAUCAACCCAUUUUUAAUAUCAGCAGCACCUCCAUCAUGCUCACCUGAAAUUUUUUUAAAUCAUGUCAAUGUUGAAAUUCUUGAAGUGCUGUCCAAUUUGCUAAAAAGAAACUCUUGAUUUGAAUUGUUCAGCACAACCAUCACUUCAAAUGUAGUGUCUCUUGUAAAUAACUCCUUGUUUUAGCAACCAAAAGUGAUAGUAUUUGAGGCAAUGUCGAACAAAUACAUUUCUUGUCAUUGUCAUUAGCGUUUGACAAGUAAAAAUGAAAGUACUUUUUCACUUAGUCACUUCUUGGAAUACAUAAGUGUACCAAAAUGUUUCCUUGCUCAUUCUCCCAGUGCCUAGAUUGCACUUUCCAUGAAGCUAUAGUUUUUGGUGAAGUCAAGAAUAAAAACUAUAAUUUCAAUUCGAAAGUUAGUAAGAUAUAUCAAAAGCUAUUGCUUGCCACUUAGUUCAAAAGUUGUGUCAAAAACUUAAUAGUAUUUACUUUUAACUCAUAUAUCAAGUUUUCUAAAAUGGUUUCCACUUCUGAAAACAGUAGUUUUCUCAAAACUUUCAUCUUGCCUCUUGCUUUCAAUUGCUCCAUUUGAACAUCUUUUUAAUUUUGAUAAAUUGUCUCUAUUUGAUCUUGUAGUUGCUUUCUGUUUCAAACUACUUUGGACAGAGACACCACAAAUGUUAUAUUGUUAGUAGAUACAAUUUGGAUUGUGCCAUUCAAUCAAACCUCCAGCAUCACAAAUGCAAAUCUUCUAAAAUUCUAAAAGGUUGUUUGGUGUUUUCACCUUUGCUUCACAUUCUUUUCCUGGUCCAUAUAGCUCGCAUUUGCAAUUGCAACCAUUAUGAGGACCUCACUUGUCAAGCCUUAGUUUCUGCAAACCUUGAAUGAUGUACUUCAUCUUCAUGUGAUCAAUACAACAACAUAUGUUGCAUUCAAUUAUCAGCUUCAUAAAUUGGAACUACAAAAGAGAGAAACUAUAAGUGAAGCUCAAAGUUGAUUUCACUUUACAAACUAAUAACACAGUAAAAGUGUAAUGAACUAAACACCACUCACAAUCACAAAUGCAAUUAAGUGGUGGGAAGUGAGUGAGUUUCAAGUGAAAGUGAUGCAGAGUCCUAAAAAUUAAGUGAGUCUAAGUGAAAAUCAAAGGUGCCAGUAAAAUCAAGUGAAUAUAAGUUAAAAUAGAGUAUAAAUUUAGAAAUCUAAUAGUGAGAAGCAAGAGGAUAUAUGUGAAUCAAACUGAAUAGGUAAGUGAUUGUAAUUGCAAUUUAUUUCCAACCAGUGCAUCAAAUGUUCCUUGUAAACUCCAUGGGACACUCUAUGUUGACAAAUGUCCUUCCUAUUUGGCAACAUGCAAAUGUUACAAAUUCAGAAAUCAUGUAUCACUUCCUUGAUCUCAAAUAGUAUCUCAUUUAAAUACUUCUUCUAUCUAUCUAUUGUUUACAGCAAGUGAAGAAAUCAAAACUCUCAUAAAUUUGAGUUAAUCCAUGAAGUUUGCUCUUUUAUUCAGGUUGAAAGUGGCUGAGGACUAUCUCCUUAUAGAGAUUAAGAUCACUCUUAGUGAGCCCUGUGUACAAAGAAAAAUUAAAAUAUAUUAGAAAUUUUACUGAUGGAUGAAAGCUAGAUAUAACAUGGAAAAAGUUCUGUAUGUGUAGAACCAAGCCAAGAAUCUUACAUUGAGUGGUGAGGGAGAAUGUAAAGGUGAAGUUCUUGAAUAUACAAGCUAUAUGGUUGGCAAUUCUUUGCUUUGCACAAAAUGAUGGUUAUGACCUUGAAAUUGUCACAACUACAACACUUCUUGAGUUGUCACUCACACUUUCAAUUAGUGCUGCUGCUCACUAUACUGGGAGGCAAUCACUUGGCAGCACAACAAGUCUUGGAGAAGUGCAAGAAAACUUUAGCCAAAACUAUGAGAUUCUUUGGGCUAAUAGCUAAGAUUCUAACUUAUAAGGCCCAAAUUAAAAAAAAAGUGAUAUGUAUACCCAUCUGAUCAAAUACAAACUAUCAACAAAUCAAUAAACUUAUCUACCACUAAACACUUUUCUUGGUACCUGUUUCAUGCUUUUACCCUAAACUUCUCUUCUCUUUUACAAUAUUAAAUAUAAUAAUAACAAUAGUAUUUUUUAUGAUGUUGAACAUUUCAAUUUAUAUCUUUUUUAUUUAGCUAAUAAUGAAUUACCUUUAUCGUCAUUUCUUAUUUACAUUAGAUUGAUAUUUUCUUAGCCCUUAAAAAAAAUAUUUAUCACCUUUUGAUAAAUAUUUUAUAGCUUCUACACAUGUGCCACUGAAGAGCAUGAGUAGUUAAUUGGUUAGUGGUUUACUUUGUGUUCUUCUCAUAUCCUCUAAUGAACCAUGCCACGGUCUGGAUUUUGGGGGAGCUAAGUAGUGCCACCUGAUCCCGAUCCGUGGGCAGUCAAAGAAUUUGAGCCCCGUGAGCAUGGACUGGGAAAUGAUUCUGCCAGAAAACUCAAAAGACUGAUAUGCGACCCACAUCAACUGGAAGUUGAACGGGGAGAUAUUGCCGACCACGAAUUCCGCAGGAGGACUAACUGAAAUUAAAGUCUACAUGUUUAUGAUAUAGAUGUGUUCUAUCGAGCAGUCCUCUUGUAUACAGGCUUGACUGGCUGGUUGACUUUUGUCACUCUACUUGCCAAUCUUACAAAAACAUAAAGCAAAAUCCUUAAUCUAAACCAGUUGCAGGCAGGGAAAACAGAUUUUCACAAGCUGGUCCUGGGUUACUCUGGAAAAAAGUGGAGCAGCUUGUUUGAAAACAAUAAUGCUCGUCUGGACGCUCUUGCCAGACGUGGUCGCCGGCUUGAAGAGUGACGACCUGCAGCAAUUGGGACGAAACAAAUGUCGCGUCACGUAAAACAAGCUUUUUUCGGUCAUGAAGGUUUACGCAUCAGAUAUCUUUGAUAGCAAGGAGUUCGUUUCAUUGUUAUGAAGCAUUCGUGGAGUCGAAUACGUUCCUUGUGAUGCAAAAGCGUCAAAGAGUGGUUCGCGGGCUCGGUGCUGCUUGUAUUUCAGCGUGCGCUUGGUGGCAGUGAUGAAAGUUGCGAGCUAUGGAGGGGCUCAAGUCGUGAUCGUCGGUGCUGGAAAAGAUGUACAAGCUGCUCGUCAAAGGCUGCACUCGGCUGAGCGACGUUGUCUUCACGAGCACAGCACUCUUCUACAAAGGUAACGCUGGGAAGAUCCCCACUGCUCCUUUGGAAACCAGGUUCUUCAUCGACAUCUCGGUUCCUCGGCGUCAAGCUCUACAAUGUAGACGACUUGAAAGAGGUGGUGGCCGCCAACCAGGACGAGAGGAGGAAAGCCAUGGAGGCCCAGACCAUCAUCGAGGAGGAGCUGGGGAGAAUUAUAAAGAAGCUGGGAGCUUACACGGAGAGAAUCCGGAUGAGCGAGCUGACGACCCCCACCUACAGAAACGGCAGA